GCAAUAUACGAACGAUGAAGCCUUUCGGGGUGGAUUAGUGGCGAACGGGUGAGUAACACGUGGGCAAUCUGCCCUUCACUCUGGGACAAGCCCUGGAAACGGGGUCUAAUACCGGAUAACACUCUGUCCCGCAUGGGACGGGGUUAAAAGCUCCGGCGGUGAAGGAUGAGCCCGCGGCCUAUCAGCUUGUUGGUGGGGUAAUGGCCUACCAAGGCGACGACGGGUAGCCGGCCUGAGAGGGCGACCGGCCACACUGGGACUGAGACACGGCCCAAACUCCUACGGGAGGCAGCAGUGGGGAAUAUUGCACAAUGGGCGAAAGCCUGAUGCAGCGACGCCGCGUGAGGGAUGACGGCCUUCGGGUUGUAAACCUCUUUCAGCAGGGAAGAAGCGAAAGUGACGGUACCUGCAGAAGAAGCGCCGGCUAACUACGUGCCAGCAGCCGCGGUAAUACGUAGGGCGCAAGCGUUGUCCGGAAUUAUUGGGCGUAAAGAGCUCGUAGGCGGCUUGUCACGUCGGAUGUGAAAGCCCGGGGCUUAACCCCGGGUCUGCAUUCGAUACGGGCUAGCUAGAGUGUGGUAGGGGAGAUCGGAAUUCCUGGUGUAGCGGUGAAAUGCGCAGAUAUCAGGAGGAACACCGGUGGCGAAGGCGGAUCUCUGGGCCAUUACUGACGCUGAGGAGCGAAAGCGUGGGGAGCGAACAGGAUUAGAUACCCUGGUAGUCCACGCCGUAAACGUUGGGAACUAGGUGUUGGCGACAUUCCACGUCGUCGGUGCCGCAGCUAACGCAUUAAGUUCCCCGCCUGGGGAGUACGGCCGCAAGGCUAAAACUCAAAGGAAUUGACGGGGGCCCGCACAAGCAGCGGAGCAUGUGGCUUAAUUCGACGCAACGCGAAGAACCUUACCAAGGCUUGACAUAUACCGGAAAGCAUCAGAGAUGGUGCCCCCCUUGUGGUCGGUAUACAGGUGGUGCAUGGCUGUCGUCAGCUCGUGUCGUGAGAUGUUGGGUUAAGUCCCGCAACGAGCGCAACCCUUGUUCUGUGUUGCCAGCAUGCCCUUCGGGGUGAUGGGGACUCACAGGAGACUGCCGGGGUCAACUCGGAGGAAGGUGGGGACGACGUCAAGUCAUCAUGCCCCUUAUGUCUUGGGCUGCACACGUGCUACAAUGGCCGGUACAAUGAGCUGCGAUGCCGCGAGGCGGAGCGAAUCUCAAAAAGCCGGUCUCAGUUCGGAUUGGGGUCUGCAACUCGACCCCAUGAAGUCGGAGUUGCUAGUAAUCGCAGAUCAGCAUUGCUGCGGUGAAUACGUUCCCGGGCCUUGUACACACCGCCCGUCACGUCACGAAAGUCGGUAACACCCGAAGCCGGUGGCCCAACCCCUUGUGGGAGGGAGCUGUCGAA
rnacentral:rRNA from 1 species